rnacentral:rRNA from 1 species
CCUCCUGACUGGCGCCGACACUCUGUCUCGUGCAGAGAGUGGGAGGCCGGGAAGUUGUUCAAACUUGAUCAUUUAGAGGAAGUAAAAGUCGUAACAAGGUUUCCGUAGGUGAACCUGCGGAAGGAUCAUUACCGAAAGAGAGAUACGUAGUUUUAGUACUACGAGUUCUUCUACCCUGGGAACCGGUGGAAAAAAUUAUCAUUAGGGGUCGGCUGGUUCCGUUAAAAGGAGAGGGCCGCGAGGCGUCGCUCGGACUGCCGUGCUAGGUGACUUUGGUGGAGAUGGAUGGAUGGAUGGAUGGAGACUGCUCAGUGGGAUCGUAGCGUGACCGUGCGGUGUGGCGUAGGACGCUUCGUGCGCCGCGUCGGUGCCUGCCUACGUUUCUCGUUGUGUGUGUGUGUGUCUCUCUCUCUCUGUCUCUCUCCGUGUCUAUCUAGUGCGUGCACUCGAUGUGCCGCGGCGCGGUCGGCUCCUGCCCCGCAGACGUUUGACAGACGAUUUGCUUCAAAGAACUGAGCACAGAGAUACCUGUAGAAUGGAUCUAUAGAGAAAAAAAAAAGUUUGACAACUUUUGACGGUGGAUCUCUAGGCUCACGCAUCGAUGAAGAACGCAGCCAGCUGCGAUAAGUAGUGUGAAUUGCAGAAUUCAGUGAAUCAUCGAAUCUUUGAACGCAAAUGGCGCUCUUGGGUUCUCCCAGGAGCAUGUCUGUCUGAGUGUCUAUUCAAACAUCCAUCGUGCGAAUCCGCGUGCGCGCGUCCGCCUGGUCCCCGUCUGUAGCGGAUGGGGCCGGGACGCGCCCGCCGUGAACGGGUUCGUGCGGCGUUGAGGGUCGCGGUCGAGAUGACCGGUCGUGCGCUAGCCAGCCCUGGUGCUGCUCGGCCCGACCGGUCGGUUUACCGCGUCCCUUGAAAUUCAGGGAGAAAGAUCCGCCAAGCGACAUCCGGUGUCGCGCGGGGAUCAUAGAACAAUGUACCCCAAACGGCCACGGCUCUAUCGCUUUGACGGAACAAAUCUUUCUCCAUUCGAUUCUUUUUUCUGCUGCCGCCGGGUAGCGGUGGCGGCAUCUCAAAGGAAAAAAGG